UGGGCUUGAAGUGCAGUGGCACGGUCUGUGAAAGCGGAUCUUUCCUUCGGGACUGCUGUAGAGGUGCUGCAUGGCUGUCGUCAGCUCGUGUCGUGAGAUGUUGGGUUAAGUCCCGCAACGAGCGCAACCCUUGCCUCUAGUUGCCAGCGCGUUAUGGCGGGAACUUUAGAGGGACUGCCGGUGACAAACCGGAGGAAGGUGGGGAUGACGUCAAGUCCUCAUGGCCCUUACGUCCAGGGCUACACACGUGCUACAAUGGCUGGUACAAAGGGUUGCCAACCCGCGAGGGGGAGCUAAUCCCAAAAAACCAGUCUUAGUUCGGAUUGGAGUCUGCAAUUCGACUCCAUGAAGCUGGAAUCGCUAGUAAUCGUGGAUCAGCACGCCACGGUGAAUACGUUCCCGGGCCU
rnacentral:rRNA from 1 species